GGGGAAAUUGAAAAACUGUUAAGAAGCAUUGAGCUUAAAUGUUGAAAAAGAAAGAUGCACGAGAAAAAGAAAAAUAAGAAAAAAGCAUGAAGAUGAGCUCAAUGAAAAAGAAAAAGGGAAAAAGUUGGGAAUGAGAGAGAUUGGUGAGGAAGAUAGUUGUGCUUAAAUGUGAAUAUUAUGAUAGCUCUCUUAACUCAAGGAUUUUGUUUUCCAGAAAAACCAAUUUUUCUUG
rnacentral:lncRNA from 1 species